rnacentral:rRNA from 1 species
UACGUAGGGUGCAAGCGUUAUCCGGAAUUAUUGGGCGUAAAGAGCUCGUAGGCGGUUUGUCGCGUCUGCUGUGAAAACCGGAGGCUCAACCUCCGGCCUGCAGUGGGUACGGGCAAACUAGAGUGCGGUAGGGGAGAUUGGAAUUCCUGGUGUAGUGGUGGAAUGCGCAGAUAUCAGGAGGAACACCGAUGGCGAAGGCAGAUCUCUGGGCCGUAACUGACGCUGAGGAGCGAAAGCGUGGGGAGCGAACAGG